rnacentral:rRNA from 1 species
UACGUAGGUGGCAAGCGUUAUCCGGAUUUAUUGGGUUUAAAGGGUGCGUAGGCGGAUUGAUAAGUUAGAGGUGAAAUGUCCGAGCUCAACCCCGAAACUGCCUCUAAUACUGUUGGACUAGAGAAUAGUUGCGGUAGGCGGAAUGUAUGGUGUAGCGGUGAAAUGCUUAGAGAUCAUACAGAACACCGAUUGCGAAGGCAGCUUACCAAACUAUAUCUGACGUUGAGGCACGAAAGCGUGGGUAGCAAACAGG